GAAAUGCGAUAAGUAAUGUGAAUUGCAGAAUUCAGUGAAUCAUCGAAUCUUUGAACGCACCUUGCGCUCCUUGGUAUUCCUUGGAGCAUGCCUGUUUGAGUAUCAUGAAAUCUACAAAGUAAAUCUUUUGUUAACUCAAUUGGUUUCUACUUUGGUAUUGGAGGUCUUUGCAGCUUCACACCUGCUCCUCUUUGUUCAUUAGCUGGAUCUCAGUGUUAUGCUUGGUUCCACUCGGCGUGAUAAGUUAUCUAUCGCUGAGGACACUGUAAAAGGUGGCCAAGGUAAAUGCAGAUGAACCGCUUCUAAUAGUCCAUUGACUUGGACAAUACUUUUAUGACCUGAUCUCAAAUCAGGUAGGACUACCCGCUGAACUUAAGC
rnacentral:misc_RNA from 1 species